CCUUGCCCCCCUUCUCUUCUGCUCUGAACCUCCACUGGCCCCAUCUCCGUGGCUCCACCGCGGGAUCUGCACGGUUGGAGUCUCUCCGCGCCGCAUACACCCCCUCCUCCCAGCCGUCCACUUGCCCUUUCCGGCGCCCUUGACCAGACCCCUGGGUCUCUGUGGGCUGGCCCCAGGAUGGGGUUGGGCGCCCGGCUUUUCGAUCCCAUAGCGUCCCCCACAGCCCCCUGCUCCAUGAGGCCGAUGCCGGAUUGCCUGUCUGUGCCCCCCAGCCUCAAUCGUGCAUCCCUCCCGACCCCGGGCAGGUGACUGUCGCCUCGCCACCGCCACAUCAGAGAGAACAUGUCUGCACACAAGCCCUCCUGAACCAGCUUGGAAUCCCUCCAAGGACGGACCUGGAGACCAGCCAGGAGCGAGGGUGCUCCUGGGAAGGACGCAUCCAUGGGAAGCAGAGACCGUGGCAGGCUUGCAGGAUGGCCAGGUCUUCCGAGGUUUGAAGAAAAACUGGAAAUCUGGAUUUUUAUGCAGAACGUCCUGAUUUUUAGAACGCUCCGUGAGCCGAAACACACAUCCAAACUGGACGAGCGUCCCCACAAACUGUGGGCUCCUACUUGCGCCCCCUGAUGGAGCCUGGCACACACGUGACCUAGGCAGGCAAGCCCUGCCCAGAGCUCACCCAGACUUUGCACGAACUGUGUACUUACCCAGGUGCAGACCUUGCAGGCACGUGAUGGAGAGAAGUCAUCAGACGUUUACAUACACUCGCUAUCUCCUACGACGUCAUCGUAGUCUGUUAACUUUCCAGCUAAGGAGACCGAGUGUCAUCUCCAAAGUCAAGUAGCUAGCGUGUGGCUGGGCUUGCACCCUGGGCUGCAGACCACAAAGCUAGUGAAUGGCCACCCAAACUGCCUCCCAGGUGCCUGUACUCCCAACUGAAAGCCUGCUGAUUUGCAUCCCUUGCUAAACUCAGCUCCUUGUGCUCAGGGACUGUGUCUCAUCUGUCGCUGCGUCCCCAUCCCCUAGCACAGGGCACAGUGGAACAUAGAAAGUGCUCAAUAAAUACUUGGUUGGGGGGGCUGUCCUCAGGCAAACAGACAAGUGUGCAUAGACAGUCCCUAUGAACCCACGUAGAGUCACCUAACUCUACCAUGCCCAGGAACACCUGGACACUCAGCCUCCCACGGGAACACCCCCUGCCCCCGUCCCCCACCUCCCAGAGCAUCCAACCGAGCUGGGCCUCCCUGAGCCCCCCUGCCAGCCUCGCCCAAAACCUUCACAAAUCGUUUCCUGGAAAUCUCAAGGCGGCUGUGGUGUUCUUUUUCCCUAACUCAGGAGACAACUCAGCAGUUUUGUUUUUCAAAGUCUGGGACUCAUAAACCUGGAAUCCUUUCUUCGUUUUUUCCACUAGAAUUUUCCUUGGCUGGACGCCUCUCCCCAGGGCUUUGGCCAAGAGGUUACGCUCAGCACGCCCUCUGCCGGGCUCGGUCCUCCCAACCCAGUGGGCAGUUGCAGAGGGGGAAAGACGGGACCUGUCUCAGAUGCAAUCACUUUACAGAGGGGGAAACUGAGUCAGGCGGUGGUAAUGGGGUGAGGUUGGGGAAGGUAGACUCCUUCCAAGUAUGUGCCAAUGUGUGCUACAACUAAGUGGCUUUGUGAUUUUAAACUUAACAGAAGACCAUCGGGGAAGGGAAGGGGAAAAAUAGUUUCAGAGAGGGAGGCAAACCUCUAAGAGUCUCUUAAAUGCAGAGAACAAACUGAGAGUUGAUGGGGGGGGGCUGUGGGAGGGGAAAAUGGGUGAUGGGCACUGAGGAGGGCACUUGUGGGACGAGCACUGGGUGUUGUAUGUAAGGGAUGAAUCACGGGAAUCUACCCCCGAAACCAAGAGCACACCGUAUACGAUGUAUGUUAGCCAACCUGACAAUAAGUUAUAUUUAAAAAUAAAAUAAACUAAAAAAAAAAAAGAAGAAGAAGAAGAAGAAAGAGCUUCCAGAGCUCAAACAUGGCAGAAAAAGCUGUCUGCUCUCAUUGGCCUCUGUGUGGGGCAGAAGGCAGAGGUCUAGGAACUUGGUCAGUUUCAACUUUUUCCUUGACUCCCCAUCACAUUUAAUUGGCAAGGAAAUCAAGACACAGAGAGAGGUUGGGGGAAGGAGCAGGAGUGACAUUCUCUGAGCGUCGGCUCUGUGGUAGCUGUGUGGACAAGGUCUCUCUUGCUUAAUUGUCACAGCAGCCUGUGGUAAGUGGACCCAGCUCAGAGGCUGCCUUCUCCAUGGAACCUUCUCUACUGCGUCCAGCAGGGACUAUGCUGCCUCGGGCUGACCUUACGGAUACAUGUGCCAGUUCUCCUCAGAGACCGGAACUCCUGAGAAACAGUGGUGGAGGCACCUUUGAUUCCCCUGUCUGAGCACGUGUGUGUGUGUCCUUCAUACUACUUAGCGGUAUGGUGUAAUGGCAAAAGCCCCGAGACCCUUGGGGCUGCCUUUAGAUUAGAGCUGAGCAAAUUUUGUGUUGGAGUGAGCUCUUGUGUGGCCCCCUUUCUCAAGUCAAGAAAGAGGGGCUUCUCUGCACCUGAAACUAAUAUAAUAUUGUAUGUUAAUUAUACUGAAAGAGAGAGGGAAGAACGGAGAGAGACAGAUGUUCCCUGGAGUCUACUCAGAAAGCUUAAUAUGUGUCUAUGGUAGUUUGAGACGGGGAGACGGGGGAGACUGGCAUCUCACAGCCACCAUAGAAAUCUGAAGGAUGAGAGGGGCGCCUGGGUGGCUCAGUGGGUUAAAACAUCCGACCUCGGCUCAGGUCAUGACCUCACGGUUCGUGAGUUCGAGCCCCGCGUCGGGCUCUGUGCUGACAGCUCGGAGCCUGGAGCCUGCUUCAGAUUCUGGGUCUCCCUUUCUCUCUGCCUCUCUCCUGCUCGGCUGUAUCUCUCUGUCUCAAAAAAAAAAAAAAAAAAAACAUUAAUAAAAGAUUCAAGGGAUGAUAGAUGGGUACCAUCUUAGGCAAACAAGACAAAGGGGAGGGGGCACUGUCAGAUCGGCCUGAAUGCCCCAAGAUGGUUUGUGCAAAGGAUGCUGUUCCCAGGGACUAGAAGUGGGCCAUGCAUUGGAAGAACUGAUGUGAAGGCCUGUUAGGUGUGUCUAACGGGGGGCAUGAGCUGAAGUUAUCUCUGGAUUUUUAGGUCGCAGAAGGAGUGAACAAUGGGAUACAAGGUGGUGCCAUGCCCACAUUAGGGUGAGAGGUCCUCAGAGCUUGUGGGCCAAGUGUCUGAAAAGCCCAUGGAUGUGUCCACACAAGGGUUAGCUUUAAAGCCAUCUUAUGAUAGUGUUGGUCAGGUAAGAGCUCUCCUUUUUUUUUUUUUUAAGUGUUUAUUUAGUUUUGAGAGAGAGAGAGAGAGAGAUACAGAGACAGAGCAUGAGCAGGGGAGGGGCAGAGAGAGAAGGAGACACAGAAUCCGAAGCAGGCUCCAGACUCCAAGCUCCAAGCUGUCAGCACAGAGCCCAAUGCGGGGCUCGAACCCAUGAACCACGAGAUCAUGACCUGAGCCGUAACCAAGAGUCGGACGCUCGACCGAAUGCGCCACCCAGGCGCCCCUCCUGCUCUCCUUUCUUCUGCCUCUCCUCACCUCGCCACUCCCCACCCCUCUAGCCCUGGAGAAGUCAGAAUCACAGUUAGCAAAGUGGGGAAAAGAACAGCUGUCCACGCCCCUGUCCCCAGCUAUAACAGUCCUACCUGCAGCAAGCCCUGUUGGAACAAAAGGUGGAAUUAAAAAAACAUUUUUUUUAAUGUUUAUUUAUGUUUGAAGGAGAGAGAGACAGAGCAUGGGUGGGGGGAGGGGCAGAGAGAGACGGAGACACAGAAUCUGAAGCAGGCUCCAGGCUCUGAGCUGUCAGCACAGAGUGCGACGCGGGGCUCGAACUCACGGACCUCGAGAUCAUGACCUGAGCCGAAGUCGGACGCUUAACCGACUGAGCCACCCAGGCGCCCCUAAAAGGCAGCAUUUUAAAUCAAAUUUGGGAUUUUGCUUUUGUCUGGGACUGAGCAUCUCAUUUAGGAAUAGCGUUUGUUUGGUGAUUGAAGUGGUCACCGGACUUUUCAUUUCCUGGGAGUGGCAGACAGGUUGGAGGAUGCUUGAAGUCUCAUUGAGGGGCAGAGAAAGGGCGACCCUCCUUUGGGGGGCUGGGAAAUGAAAUUAAGUUGAUUUAUGAUUAUACACUGUGAGUCUUACUCAAUGGAUUGAUUCUCUUUGCUAUUGUAAAGUGGGAUGUCUUCUUCGGUGAUAUUUUUCUACUCACCAGCGUUUGCUUCUAUCACUUCUUCCAAAGCAGUUAAGUCCCCGUGCUCCCCCUAGAUAAAGUCACUUAACGGGCACUAAACGUUGAGCUGGGCUUCAGGCUUCAGAUUCCUACCUUGAGGGAGAUUUUAAGGAGCCUCAUGUCCACAGGCCAACAGACUCGGUAUCUAUUUUCCUUUGCUGCACGUUCCUGUAUGACAAUCAAAUUCUGAUUCUCCUGUUCUACUAAAUGUAACAGCCUUCAGUUUAUAUCUGCCCUGUGCCAGGUCUUGUGCUUCGGGAUACAGAGAGGAGCCCCGGUCCUCAAGGAGCUCACAUAGCAAUGACAGGACACGGAUAAGCCAUCAGGACACUCGGUGUGUGGUGAGAGUUCCAGCAUAGGUGUGCUCACAGAGGGUGGCUUACUGGAGGUUUCACCAAGUCUAUCCUUUUUUUUUUUUUUUUUAAAUUUUUUAACGUUUAUUUAUUUUUUGAGACAGAGAGAGACAGAGCAUGAGCGGGGCAGGGGCAGAGAGAGAGGGAGACCCAGAAUCCGAAGCGGGCUCCAGGCUCCGAGCUGUCAGCACAGAGUCCGAUGCGGGGCUCGAACUCACGGACCGUGAGAUCAUGACCUGAGCUGAAGUCCGAUGCUUAACCAAAUGAGCCACCCAGGCGCCCCUUGCCAAGUCUAACCUUUGAUGCUGCCACAAUGCUUGGCCUGUGGUAGACACUCUGAAUCAGACAAUUCGACACUUCUCAUCCGCACGCAGAUGGUCGUUACGUAAUGGCAGUCGCCGGCUCUGUGUGCGUAACAGUAUCAUAAGCAUUUUCCAGGUUCCUACCUGUCUUCAGAAUGAUUCUCUUUCAGAGGCGACCUACCAUUUCAUAGAAUGUGUAUGCCAUCAUUUAUGUAAUCGUUUCUCCCUUUCUAGGACAUCACUUUGUAUGUCAUGUAGCUCUAUCGU